CAUUAGACUGACUUGUUGCUUAAAAUUUUGCAGCUAAAUAGGAACAACAAGAGGAACGUUGAAACGAAUGUUUGUUUACUUCCCGCGCGAGAAUCGACGCGGCUGAAGACAAGUUGGAGAUUAUUGCGCCGAAAUGAGUGGCUCUGCAAGCCAAUCUGUCACUCCCAAACCAUCUGCUGCUGGCUCGGGCAUUGAGCUAGAUGCCUCUCACUCAUACCAGAUCAGACCCAAAUUCGAGAACAAGUUUCGGCCUCAGGCUGUGAAGGAACAGAUCAGGAUCAUACUGAAUGAAGAAUUGGGCGGAAGAACGUACAAUGACAAGGAAGCUCAGGUUUGGAUCAAGAACAUAUCAGAAACUCUGCGAACAAGAAUGAAGGAGAUGAACUUUGAGAGGUACAAAAUAGUUGUGCAAACUGUGAUUGGGGAACAGCUUGGAGAAGGAGUGAAGAUGGGUAUGAGGUGCCUUUGGGACUCUGACACUGACACAUAUGCGUCAGACGUGUUCAUCAAUGACUCAAUGUUCUGUGUGGCAGCUGUGUAUGGAGUGUACUUCUACUGAACAAAGGGCACCUUCUUGCUGGCAACUCCAACCCUGGUAUAUGAACUGCAAGUCUACAUUUCUUAUGUGUUCAUAGUUCAUCUGAUUAUAGUGUUAUAAACACAGCUGCAUCACUUGAAAGUUGAAUUGCCAGUCUCAGAAAAUAGCAGCACAGGGUCCCUCACCUUCUGUCUUAAAGACAGUCAGUUCACAAGGUUUGAUUUGGUUAUAAAGCCUGAUUUGUGUUACAAUUGAACCUCAUCACUUCUGUUCAAGAAAUGGAGUGGAGAUUGGUAGUUGACUCACUUGGUUCCAGACCAUUCUUGUGAUGUUAUCAUUAUUUUGUGUGUUGUCAUUCAUUCAAGUGUAACUCCUGUGUGAUAUUGCAAUGUGAAUACAGUUUGAAUAUUUUGCACCAUAA